rnacentral:rRNA from 1 species
GCCUAAAGCGUCCGUAGCCUGUUUUGUCAGUUUUCGGUUAAAUCCAUACGCUUAACGUAUGGGCUGCCGGAAAUACUGCAAAACUAGGGAGUGGGAGAGGUAGACGGUACUCGGGAGGAAGGGGUAAAAUCCUUUGAUCUCUCGAUGACCACCUGUGGCGAAGGCGGUCUACCAGAACACGUCCGACGGUGAGGGAUGAAAGCUGGGGGAGCAAACCGGAUUAGAUACCCGGGUAGUCCCAGCUGUAAACUAUGCAAACUCAGUGAUGCAUUGGCUUGAUGCCAAUGCAGUGUUGCAGGGAAGCCGUUAAGUUUGCCGCCUGGGAAGUACGUACGCAAGUAUGAAACUUAAAGGAAUUGGCGGGGGAGCACCACAAGGGGUGAAGCCUGCGGUUCAAUUGGAGUCAACGCCAGAAAUCUUACCCGGAGAGACAGCAGAAUGAAGGUCAAGCUGAAGACUUUACCAGACAAGCUGAGAGGUGGUGCAUGGCCGUCGCCAGCUCGUGCCGUGAGAUGUCCUGUUAAGUCAGGUAACGAGCGAGAUCCUUGCCUCUAGUUGCCACCAUUACUCUCAGGAGUAGUGGGGCGAAUUAGCGGGACCGCCGUAGUUAAUACGGAGGAAGGAAGGGGCCACGGCAGGUCAGUAUGCCCCGAA